rnacentral:sRNA from 14 species
CGGGUUUCGACAGGGCGUACCAGGGCAAGCAGGCUGCCUCGGCGGGGAUCGUCGG